rnacentral:lncRNA from 1 species
ACUCGCCGUCUCAGAUUGACAUCUAGCAAUAUGUCAGGACAAUACACGUGACGAAUAAUAUCAUGUGGUAUAACAAAACUAAACUCGUUCGUUUACCAUGAAAUUAUAAUUCUUUCGUCAAUAUGAGUCAAUCAAUUACGAGAUAUGGAAGUGUGUCAAUCUUGAUUAUCAAUCAUAUCUUUCAUUCCAUUAUUAAGUCAAUAUAAGUCAAAAAUUUAUUUUCGACUUAUGAAUACACAUUGGCCAAGAAUUUCGUUAUCGAUUUAAUUGAAUGAAAUAUAGAUCAUAAUCUCUUACUCUCUAAGAGUGAGGAAUCAUCCAU